AUAAUACUAGGCAGACCACCCCCAACUUUCGGUCUAGUUUCCAGCCAUUAAAAUGAACUGCUAAGAACAGAAAUAAAAUUGAAAUGUUGAGAGAGAUUGUUAUAUAUGUGAGUCCCUUGCUAUUCACUUCUAUAGGAGCAGAUGCAUUCGUAAAUGCAGUCUUAAUAAACCAGGGAAGACCUAGGCAUAGCAUAUCAAACACAUUGGAUCCAACGAUGUUCGAUACAGCCAUGUCUCCUUUACCUGCAGAAGAAUAGCAUGUUGUUAAAAUGUGCACAUCAAUACUAUAUUUUAUUAAUAAUCUUCAUAAGAAAAACACUGGAUACUUUUUGUUGGUUAGUUUUAGAAAACUGUUAUUGUUAGAGCAAGAGUCUUAUCGAAUUUGUAUUUCCUUGGGUUAGUAUUUUAAAGUCUUAACAUUUAUUUAAUAAUUGUCUUUAUUUAUUAAACCAUUUUUAAUAAGGUAUGCAGCUUACUUAUUGCUUUUUAUUCUCAUUUGACAGUGAAUUACCAUCUAAUGCACAUUUCAGUUUGCCUGAUGUCAAAUAUGUUCUGAUUGGGAAAAAUAUGGAAGUUACCUGGACAUUCUUAUCUUCUUCAUGAAAAAGAAAACUAUUUGUUUGUUUGUUUGUUUGUUUGUUAGCAUACAGUUACAAUAAAGUUAGUUAUCUGGGAGAAAUCAGACCAGCCAGUUUGGAGAAGCUUCCAGGUAGUAAUUAUUUCAACUUUAUAGUGUUUGAAUUUUUGUUGUAAUUCUUUAGUCCCAGCAAUGUGUAAAGACAGCAGUGUAUACAUGUUAGUAGAUGUCUAGGCCCAGCUGUGGUCAGUGAAGCUUCGCUGACACAAUGAGGUUGAAUGAUUUAGGUAUAGAGGAAAGAGAUUUUUCAUUUCUAAUGGACAUAUUAAACUAAGUGGUAAAACGUACUCUGGAAGGUACUAGAAACCUAAAAAACAAAACUUUGAUUCUCAUUUAGUCAUAUUCAUUGUAUUUGUGAUACAUAUUUAAAGCAAAAGAAAACAUCAUCUAGUCAAACAGAAAGCACCCACUGCAUACCCCAAACCCCAGUCAAUUUCUUUUUCUACUUUCUACUGUGGAUUAGAAUUACUUUUAUGAAGAAUUCUCAUGAACCCUGUGUAAUUAUAAAUAUAUCAUAUGAAUUGUACCCCAGGCUGUGUCAUAGCAUACAUAGGAAAUGCUUUUGAUGUGUAACUCACAAAAACUUGAAUGAGCUUGUUUUUGAUAUUAAAGUUUUUAUAUUUUGUAGUUUUUAGACUUGCUGAAAAAAAGUGUGCUCCCAAGACUACUGCAAAUGAAUACUUCCAAUUUGUUCUUACAUGGAAUCAUUUUCUUGUGCUAUUCUACUUAAAUUCCAUACCUGUUACUGUGACCAUCCAAACUAGGAUGUAUGUGAAUGCAGAUAUCCAUAGUGCAGACAUGAAAAAGGUUAUCACAAAGUAAUUUUUCCAAAACUUUCUCCUGCAGUCUGGUGUUGUCAGAGCAAGUAAUGUAAUAAUAGGAAGCGAGAGAACCCAAAAAAUUCUUCUUAAAUCUGCUUCUGGCAUGCUGAAAACACUUGGUGGAUCUGUGAUGGGAAAGUUAAACAUUUUGAGUUUUCUCAAAUGUACAGCUAUUAUUAGGCCCAUUUAGAAGGCUGUUUUGAAAUAAGUUACUGUAUGUAUUUUUUAAAGACUGUCUAGAACAGUUGUCUCAACCUAUGGGUCUUCACCCCUUUGGUGUUGAACAACCAUUUCACAAGGGUCCCCUAAGACCAUGAGAAAUCACAGAUACUUUAUUACAAUUUAUAACAGCAAAAUUACAACUAUCUGUAGUGUCAAUGAAAAUAAUUUUGUGGUUGGAAGUACCACAGUAAGAGGAACUAUGUCAAAUGGUCUCAGCAUUAGGAGGAUUGAGAAGCACUGGUCUAGAACAUUAGGAUACUCCUUACUGUUACUGCUGGUCAGAAGAAACUUAACUAAAACUAGGCAGACAGCAUAAGCUGUGAUGCUCAACAUCCCUUAACCGACUGCUCGAAUCAAAUAUCUUGAACUAUUUGCUGAAUGUGCUGGUGACAGUGUUGACAGAGUGGGAAGUAGGACUUGCUUGCUAGGGACUUGAUGCCUUUGGGAUUAACUUGCUUUCUCUCCCAGCUAUUUCACUUCCCAUCCCUUAUUCAAAAUUGAUGAUGCUUAUGCUUUGCUGUAUAUGGAUGCAUGCUUAGGGAAUGUUCCAAUAAUUCUCAUUGUGCCUCACCAUUUACUAAAUUUAGGCUUCACAGUUGCUAGAAGAAAUCUAGAGAAGGUUGGGCCUAGCAUCCUUGUUGUAGCUCCAGGGGGUGCGCUCUAGGAUGGUGAGUAGAUUGGAUAAAAGUGGGACUCAGCUGUACACUAAUCAAUAUGUUAAGUAUGUGAAGAUUGGAUCAAAUUACAAAUAUUAUAACUCAUAAAAGCUUACCAAGACUCAGACUGUGCACCAUUAAUUUAGAUACAGAUUUUAACAUGAACAUUUUGACUAGUUCUUUGGAGUUUUUGUUGUUUUAAAUUUCUCAGUCUUAAGACUACAAAGUAUGUUUUAUAAAAAUAAAUGUCUCGUGUCAAGUUUUUAAAGUAAUAAAUUGGAAGCUUCCUUCUCAAUCACUUAACUGAAAUUGGAACCACUUUUAUAAAAGCUUUUCUAGUCGGGAAUGCUAUUGUCAUAUCUAGCAUACGAAGCUCAUGUUCUGCUUCACAUAGCAUAUUGAAAUUACACCUGCUUUGCUUUCCCAUUCUGUUCCUCUGAACCAUCCCCUGUGCCUUGAUUGACAGUUGUUACAAAGAUGUUCUUUCUUUCCUUGUCAGUGAAAGUCCAAGUUCCAGCUUUGUCUCUGCUCCCUCUCUGGCUUGGCAUGGCCCUGCUGCUGCCAUAGUUUGCUGCUGCUGCUUCUACUGUGUCUCAUAAUUCAUCCUCACUGCCCUUUCUGGUUUUUUUUGUUCAUGUCCUGUGUCAUCUUAAUUCAGUCUUCUGUGAACAGUGGGGUGAGAGUAAAGAACCUAAAGUGCAGCUCUGACUUUCUCUCAUGAAUGUUGCCUGCUCCUUAGAGUGGCUUGCAUGACUCUUCUGUACUUUCUUCCUAUCAACCUGGUCCUCUGCUGCUUUACUUGCAUGUGUUGGCUCUGUCUUCAAGCAUGUGAACAUGCCUUUGCUAGUGUUCCCAGGCCUCAGUCCAGAGCAUGCUUAUACCCUGCAUCAUUUAUGCAAGAAAAGUGUCAAUUGUUGCUUCCUGACUACACUAUCAGAUUAUUGAGUUAAAGCCUUUCCUAUCCCAUGGGGCCCAAUUCAAAUGCUCCUUUCUCCAUCUGCAUCUCCCAUCUGAAUGUCAUCAAAGUUUAUUCAGUCUGCCUACUGUAUGUCUUAGUAGUUUAUGUUUAUGGUGUUUAUACUUUGAAAGUUUAGCUGAUUUCAGUCUGGGUCUGGGAAAUGGCUCAGUGGGUAAAGGCAUGAGAGUUUGAGCUCAGAUCCCCAACA